rnacentral:rRNA from 1 species
UACGAAGGGGGCUAGCGUUGCUCGGAAUUACUGGGCGUAAAGGGCGCGUAGGCGGCUCAUACAGUCAGAUGUGAAAUUCCUGGGCUUAACCUGGGGGCUGCAUUUGAUACGUGUGGGCUUGAGUGGGGAAGAGGGUCGUGGAAUUCCCAGUGUAGAGGUGAAAUUCGUAGAUAUUAGGAAGAACACCGGUGGCGAAGGCGGCGACCUGGUCCUUGACUGACGCUGAGGCGCGAAAGCGUGGGGAGCAAACAGG